rnacentral:rRNA from 1 species
UGAAUGCGACUGCGCCUCGUAGGCUAUUUGAAUGUUGGUUCUUCGUUACGUUGCUCUCAUCGGCUGCGUAAGGUGACUAACGAGUUUACCUUGAAAAAAUUAGAGUGCUCAAUGCGGGCUUGAAAGCACGCCUGAAUACUCGUGCAUGGAAUAAUGGAAUAGGAUCUCGGUUCUAUUUUGUUGGUUUUCUGAUCUGAGAUAAUGGUUAAGAGGGACAGACGGGGGCAUUCGUAUCGCUGCGUGAGAGGUGAAAUUCUUGGACCGUAGCGAGACGUCCCACUGCGAAAGCAUUUGCCAAGAAUGUCUUCAUUAAUCAAGAACGAAAGUCAGAGGUUCGAAGGCGAUCAGAUACCGCCCUAGUUCUGACCGUAAACGAUACCAACUAGCGUUCCGUCAGCAGUAAUUACGCCUUGACGGGCAGCUUUCCGGAAACGAAAGUUUUUCGGUUCCGGGGGAAGUAUGGUUGCAAAGCUGAAACUUAAAGAAAUUGACGGAAGGGCACCACCAGGAGUGGAGCCUGCGGCUUAAUUUGACUCAACACGGGAAAACUCACCUGGCCCGGACACCGUGAGGAUUGACAGAUUGAGAGCUCUUUCUUGAUUCGGUGGUUGGUGGUGCAUGGCCGUUCUUAGUUGGUGGAGUGAUUUGUCUGGUUUAUUCCGAUAACGAACGAGACUCUAGCCUGCUAAAUAGUCGGCGAAUAAUUGAUUAACGUCGACCGUUCGUACGACUUCUUAGAGGGACAAGCGGUGUUCAGCCGCAUGAAGUUGAGCAAUAACAGGUCUGUGAUGCCCUUAGACGUCCAGGGCUGCACGCGCGCUACACUGGAGGAAUCAACGUGUCAAUGUCCGUUGUCGAAAGGCAACGGAAACCCAUUGAAAAUCCUCCGUGAUCGGAAUCGGGAAUUGCAAUUAUUUCCCUUGAACGAGGAAUUCCUAGUAAGUGUGAGUCAUCAGCUCACGCUGAUUACGUCCCUGCCCUUUGUACACACCGCCCGUCGCUGCCCGGGACUGAGCCGUUUCGAGAAAAGCGAGGACCGGCGUUAUUGAGUCAUCGUUUCGUUGAUUUGAUUGACGUUAGAAAUCGCCUUAAUCGCAGUGGCUUGAACCG